GAUGAACGCUAGCGACAGGCCUAACACAUGCAAGUCGAGGGGUAGCAGGGUGUAGCAAUACACUGCUGACGACCGGUGCACGGGUGAGUAACGCGUAUGCAAUCUACCUUCUACACUAGGAUAGCCCGUUGAAAGACGGAUUAAUACUGGAUAACACAGGGAUACCGCAUGGUAAUAUUUGUUAAAGAUUCAUCGGUAGAAGAUGAGCAUGCGUUCCAUUAGCCAGUUGGUGAGGUAACGGCUCACCAAAGCAACGAUGGAUCGGGGAACUGAGAGGUUUAUCCCCCACACUGGUACUGAGACACGGACCAGACUCCGACGGGAGGCAGCAGUGAGGAAUAUUGGUCAAUGGACGGAAGUCUGAACCAGCCAAGUCGCGAAGGAAGACUGCCCUACGGGUUGUAAACUUCUUUUGUACUAGAGUAAAAAAGAGUAUGUAUACUCUCUUGCAAGUAUAGUACGAAUAAGCAUCGGCUAACUCCGUGCCAGCCGCCGCCGUAAUAC
rnacentral:rRNA from 1 species